AUGCCUGAUGAUGGCUGAUGUUUGAUGAUGAUGAUGACGACGACAACAUCGUCUAAACCCAACUGCACCCAUGGCCUGAUGUCUGAUGUGUCUAUUAUCAAGUCAUGGGCUGUUGUGUCAGCAUUUAUGGCCUCUCUUGUUUGAAUAAUUGGUGGAGAAGGAAGCCGAAGAAAACCCCUAAAUAGCAAUUAGAUUGUAAUUUGAGUUUGUUCAAAGAGACCAUUUGGGAAAAGUCAUUGUAAUUGAAAGGGAAGGACAGGAAGUGUGCAAUGUAAAAAGGCAACAGCUUGCCAAUGACUUGAGAGAAGAAGAAAUAAAAAUGAAAAAAAAAAGGGAAAAGCAACAAUAAAGAUAAUUAUGGAAGGUCCAAGGUAAAUUACUCUAUCCCAUUUAAAAUGCUUGUAAUGAGCUAAUGGCGUUAAGGCAGAAAAUCUAUUACAAAUUGCCUAUACCUUAAUAUGUAGAAAGUUCUCGCUAACAUUUGGAAUUUUUUACUACUAAUUAACUAUAAAAUAUGUUAUUACACAAAUAUGUUACAACAGAAGGUAAAGGAAAUUCAGUGCCCAAAAGAAAAAGUUUACUAAAUUUAUUUGUUAUUUAUUGUAUAUAUGCCAGUAAAAGUAAAGUACUUUUAGGAUUCUCA